rnacentral:tRNA from 1 species
UAAAGUUGGCAGAUAGAAUGUGAAUAAUUUAGGAUUAUUUUAUAAAAUUAUUAUUUUACUUUAUA